AACGAACGCUGGCGGCAGGCCUAACACAUGCAAGUCGAGCGAGAACUUCGGUUCUAGCGGCGGACGGGUUAGUAACGCGUGGGAAUAUGCCCUUCACUACGGAAUAGUCCCGGGAAACUGGGUUUAAUACCGUAUACGCCCUUCGGGGGAAAGAUUUAUCGGUGAAGGAUUAGCCCGCGUUGGAUUAGGUAGUUGGUGGGGUAAUGGCCUACCAAGCCGACGAUCCAUAGCUGGUCUGAGAGGAUGACCAGCCACACUGGGACUGAGACACGGCCCAGACUCCUACGGGAGGCAGCAGUGGGGAAUAUUGGACAAUGGGCGCAAGCCUGAUCCAGCCAUGCCGCGUGGGUGAAGAAGGCCUUAGGGUUGUAAACCCCUUUCAGCGGGGAAGAUAAUGACGGUACCCGCAGAAGAAGUCCCGGCUAACUCCGUGCCAGCCGCCGCAGUAAUAC
rnacentral:rRNA from 1 species